rnacentral:rRNA from 1 species
UACGUAGGGCGCAAGCGUUGUCCGGAAUUAUUGGGCGUAAAGAGCUCGUAGGCGGUCUGUUACGUCCGCUGUGAAAACCCAGGGCUUAACCCUGGCCUUGCAGUGGAUACGGGCAGACUAGAGGUAGGUAGGGGAGAAUGGAAUUCCCGGUGUAGCGGUGAAAUGCGCAGAUAUCGGGAGGAACACCGGUGGCGAAGGCGGUUCUCUGGGCCUUACCUGACGCUGAGGAGCGAAAGCGUGGGGAGCGAACAGG